rnacentral:rRNA from 1 species
GAUGAACGCUGGCGGCGUGCCUAAUACAUGCAAGUCGAGCGAACAGACGAGGAGCUUGCUCCUCUGACGUUAGCGGCGGACGGGUGAGUAACACGUGGAUAACCUACCUAUAAGACUGGGAUAACUUCGGGAAACCGGAGCUAAUACCGGAUAACAUUUUGAACCGCAUGGUUCAACAGUGAAAGACGGUCUUGCUGUCACUUAUAGAUGGAUCCGCGCCGCAUUAGCUAGUUGGUAAGGUAACGGCUUACCAAGGCAACGAUGCGUAGCCGACCUGAGAGGAUGAUCGGCCACACUGGAACUGAGACACGGUCCAGACUCCUACGGGAGGCAGCAGUAGGGAAUCUUCCGCGAUGGUCGAAAGCCUGACGGAGCAACGCCGCGUGAGUGAAGAAGGUCUUCGGAUCGUAAAACUCUGUUAUUAGGGAAGAACAAAUGUGUAAGUAACUAUGCACGUCUUGACGGUACCUAAUCAGAAAGCCACGGCUAACUACGUG